rnacentral:rRNA from 1 species
CCUACGGGUGGCAGCAGUGAGGAAUAUUGGUCAAUGGGCGCGAGCCUGAACCAGCCAAGUAGCGUGAAGGAUGACUGCCCUACGGGUUGUAAACUUCUUUUAUAAAGGAAUAAAGUUAGGCUCGUGUGCCUUUUUGUAUGUUCUUUAUUAAUAAGGAUCGGCUAACUCCGUGCCAGCCGCCGCGGUUAUACGUAGGAUCCGAGCGUUAUCCGGAUUUAUUGGGUUUUAAGGGAGCGUAGAUGGGUUGUUAAGUCAGUUGUGAAAGUUUGCGGCUCAACCGUAAAAGUGCAAUUGAUACUGGCAGCCUUGAGUACAGUUGAGGUAGGCGGAAUUCGUGGUGUAGCGGUGAAAUGCAUAGAUAUCACGAAGAACUCCGAUUGCGAAGGCAGCCUACUAAACUGCCACUGACAUUGAUGCUCGAAAGUGUGGGUAUCAAACAGGAUUAGAUACCCCGGUAGUC